rnacentral:lncRNA from 1 species
CAGGAAAUAAACAACGAUUAUUAGGGAAAACCGAAGGGAAUACGGACGCAGUUGUGUAACAAAAUCAUCUCCAACCUGGUUACGCAACAAGGGAGGAACGCGGUUAUGUGGAAAUAUUUUCUUCUCCUUUUCAUUUCGCAAUAGUGACGGUACUAUUUGUAUAGUGAAGUAACAGAAUUCUGAGAGUGGCUUUUAUCAAUCGACGAUACGUCAUUUGAUCGAGUGUACUCGGAAUCCUGAAGAAUUGUUUAUGAAUUGCGCAUACAAGUUGAACAUUCGAAUGUGACAAAUCCAAGAGGAAAGACAAGCUCUCCAGGUGCAAUCGCUCGGAGGAUAUUUUCGCAUGGACGUGCGUUCCCACUACUGUUUGCUGAAUAAACGCGCACGUACUGGUUCAAAGAAUAAGAACGUAUUGGAAUACGGCUACUCAUAAUGUGAUCCAAAAAUGCAAUAACAAAAGCACCGGGCACAGUUUUCUACACAAACAGAACACCCGAUCAUCCGAUAAUCAUCCGAUCUUGCACCUCGCAAGAUAUACUCGCGCAUCUACACGUUAAAAGAUAAAUAUAAAACCUGAAGAGAAAAUAUCACGUAUAAACUUGGCUAGGAAUUAAAAUUCAUCUUGGAUAUAGUGAUUAAAACAUGGUUUGCACGAUGCGUCCUACAAACGCAACGGGCGAGCGAGACUUAAUUGCUCAAUAAUGCAAUCCAAAUUAUCGCAAUUUGCUGAUGAAGUUAUCUGUCUGGUAGAUCUUUCCGAGAUGCGAGACGCGGUAAACCAAGUCGUGCUUUUCUUUUUUUUCUUUCCUCUUUCCGUAAGCUCGUAACAGACGUAUUUUCCGCGCGACAAUCCCAAUCGCGCGAGGCGUAUUCGGAGUUCGCCGUGUGUGGCAAUUGGAAGCUAUUCAUUUCCCGCAAUAGAUACUCCCCGCAAUCGUGCUAAUUUCCUCCGUUCGCUUAAAGCUACGCUCACGGCGAAUGUUUAACGUCGAACGUGUACCGGUGAACUCGAUUCUCAUCCCGCGUUUCUAUAGAGGGAGAACGAACGCGCGCUUUAAAAUCAGAUGAACAAUACUCAUGACACGGUCGCUCGCUCGCCGGCAAGUAAAUCGAUCUCAAUCGCAAUUUUUAUUACGAUAUAUUAUACUUUUGGGUACAACAAUAUUUUGAUUGUCAUCGUAACAACUGCACGAUUAAAUUCCCUUGAUAUUCGUCGGCUGAAAAAUAAGAUAUCAUCUCGAUGUGCAACAUCGCGAAAGGAUAUGAAAUCCAAUCGGCCGCGAUCGCCUGGAAAUAAUCUACCGGCAAAUUGCGAUGCGCUUCUCGAUAAAUUCAUUUACUUUAUUUCUGUUCGAGUGUUCGCGAACAGAGGGAGACUUUGUACAAGCUGCACCCCUUAAAUUAAAUUGACCCCUAACCUUAGCGUCCACGUAAACAACCAUAAUCGGAGGCGCAGUUGCUCCGAUCUCGGAUACUCUUUUACAGAAGAAAUCGAUGAAGGGAAUCUUGAUGCCGACAACCAUUCGAUAUGGCAAAAAUCCAAUUCAGAUUUCUUCGUAAAAGAAAAAAGAAGAAAAUAAGAAAAAGAGGCCAGAUUAACUUUAAUUAAAUUCCGAUAUUCGGGAGAAGUAGUACGCGGUCCUUAUUUUUAUGUUGACUGCAUAAAGUAAUUUCGCUACAAGGUAAAGAAUUAAAGAAAUAAAAAAAGAAAAGGAAAUUAAAAAUAUAUUCUUAUACUGGGCGCGUUUUCUAGCGUUUCGGGACAGAGAUCUGAAAUAUUAGUAGGAAGCCACCGUAUAUUUAGAUACACGAGACAAUUUUUUCUUCUCACAAAAUAACUACCAGUUGCUUUUAUGUAGCUAUACGCGUUACCUCAUUCACGCAAAUGUACGAUGUGCUACUUUUGGAUCUCAUUCAUAGAAAAGCUACGAGGAAGAACCACGCGUAUCUCUGCUCAGCUCUCUGUUUCAGCUAUAAAA